rnacentral:rRNA from 1 species
GACGAGCGCUGGCGGCGUGCUUAACACAUGCAAGUCGAACGGUGAAGGGACUGGUUUUGCUGGUCCUGGAUGAGUGGCGAACGGGUGAGUAACACGUGAGUAACCUGCCCCCUUCUUCUGGAUAACCGCAUGAAAGUGUGGCUAAUACGGGAUAUUCUGGGUCUGUCGCAUGGUGGGCCUGGGAAAGAUUGCGCCUUUUUUGGUGUUUUUGGUGGGGGAUGGGCUCGCGGCCUAUCAGCUUGUUGGUGGGGUGAUGGCCUACCAAGGCGGUGACGGGUAGCCGGCCUGAGAGGGUGGACGGUCACACUGGGACUGAGACACGGCCCAGACUCCUACGGGAGGCAGCAGUGGGGAAUAUUGCACAAUGGGCGCAAGCCUGAUGCAGCGACGCCGCGUGAGGGAUGGAGGCCUUCGGGUUGUGAACCUCUUUCGCCAGUGAAGCAGGCCUGCCUCUUUGUGUGGGUGGGUUGACGGUAGCUGGAGAAGAAGCGCCGGCUAACUACGUG